CAGAUGAGGCUUUGAAUUCUCUAAUUAGAUCACAGUGGCUUCAUACCAGAGCCUUGGUUUUCUAACUUGUAAAGCCAGAUAAAUACCAGAAGCCUUGCAAAGCUGUUGGGAAGUUUAAAUAUGCCUGACACUUAGUAGGUCCUCAACAGAAAAGUUUGCUUUCACCAUCUCAUCUGACCAACUGACCCUACCAUUGAACCACUGAGAAAACUGAGGUUCACAUGAGAUGGAAAAAAAAAAAAAGGAAAACUAUUCACCAUGGCCAAUUAUGUGCCGAGUUCUCCAUUUUUUUCAACAUCUCUAUUCCUGACAACAAUUUGGCAUGAUCUGCAGGAAGAGAACUGGUUCAUAUUAGGAAACUGAUGCCCACAGAGGUGAGGUGAGUGAGUGCCUCUAAGGCAGCACCCUUUUCGUCAUCGGGCCGAGUGAUGAGCAGCUCUCCGAAGGCUCCCGGGAUGCCAGCUUGGCCCUGCUCCAGCCCAGGCACAGGUGAGGGGCAGUGGGCAGCCUCCCUCGACCCUGAGGUGUGUGGGGUGGGGUCAGCUCAGCCUGGGGCCCUGAAUCUACACUGUCAGUGUGUGAGGGUGGGCAGAGGAGGCUGGGAUGGGGUGGGUCCACAUGUAACAGUGAGGCCACAUUCUAGGUGCACGGAAGUUCCAGAUGCCCCCCUAGCCGAGACAAGGGCUGGAAAGGGGGACCCAGUCUAGCAGAUGAGAGCUCUGGGUCUCUUGCCAGGUGUGCAAGCCCAGGCACGUCACCUCACUUCUCUGUGCCUCGUCUCUCACGGGGGCUGAGCCUUUUACCCACCUCCCUGUUGUGAGGAGUCAGGGGGUGAAUGGGGAGGCAGCUGACUCAGAGUCAG
rnacentral:lncRNA from 1 species